AGAGUUUGAUCCUGGCUCAGAUUGAACGCUGGCGGAAUGCUUUACACAUGCAAGUCGAACGGCAGCACGGGGGCAACCCUGGUGGCGAGUGGCGAACGGGUGAGUAAUACAUCGGAACGUGCCCAGUCGUGGGGGAUAACUACGCGAAAGCGUAGCUAAUACCGCAUACGAUCUACGGAUGAAAGCGGGGGAUCGCAAGACCUCGCGCGAUUGGAGCGGCCGAUGGCAGAUUAGGUAGUUGGUGGGGUAAAGGCUCACCAAGCCUUCGAUCUGUAGCUGGUCUGAGAGGACGACCAGCCACACUGGGACUGAGACACGGCCCAGACUCCUACGGGAGGCAGCAGUGGGGAAUUUUGGACAAUGGGCGCAAGCCUGAUCCAGCCAUUCCGCGUGCAGGAUGAAGGCCUUCGGGUUGUAAACUGCUUUUGUACGGAACGAAACGGCGCUUUCUAAUACAGAGCGCUAAUGACGGUACCGUAAGAAUAAGCACCGGCUAACUACGUGCCAGCAGCCGCGGUAAUACGUAGGGUGCAAGCGUUAAUCGGAAUUACUGGGCGUAAAGCGUGCGCAGGCGGUGAUGUAAGACAGAUGUGAAAUCCCCGGGCUCAACCUGGGAACUGCAUUUGUGACUGCAUCGCUGGAGUGCGGCAGAGGGGGAUGGAAUUCCGCGUGUAGCAGUGAAAUGCGUAGAUAUGCGGAGGAACACCGAUGGCGAAGGCAAUCCCCUGGGCCUGCACUGACGCUCAUGCA
rnacentral:rRNA from 1 species